UCUUUGCUUAAUUUGCCAAUCUUUUUUUUCACUGCUGAGGAGGAAAUCGCAGCGGCGAAUUCUCGAACUAAUAAACUUGAAAGGACAAAAGUUUUUCCUUGAAGAAAAUCUCCACAGCUGUCAAGACUGCCCACUACUCCCAACUCCAGCUGCCAACUGGUCCUCCUGUACUGGACUGCACAAGAGAUUUACAAAGAUGGCACAGACAAAGAACACAGGGAAUCCAUCCUGAACCUGCC